rnacentral:misc_RNA from 1 species
AAAAAGAGGUAGAAGAAAGAUUCUUCUUUCAUUAUCAACGCCCAAGUCACUAGACAAGCUUACUUGAAUAAAAAACGUUGAUGCUUCCACUAUUAAUUUGAUUGGAAAAAGGUGAAGACCAAUGAUCUGGUUCAACUGUGAUAAUCUUCAGUUAAUCAAGAAGAGCCCAUUGGCUGAUGCGGAAUAUGUUAGAAAAUAACCCCAGCUGCCUUUAAUGUCUUCUAAGGCAAAGCAAAAGAUAAAACUUCAACUCAGAAUGAUAGGAUGAAGUUAGCUUAGAAUACACACCUCGAAUUUCAAGAAUUAAUAGCUAGCUUCUUUUCUAAA